rnacentral:tRNA from 1 species
AUUUAAGUAAUUUAAUAAAAAAUUUUGAUUUGUGGUAUCAAAUAUAUAAGUUUUUCUUAUCUUAAAUU